AUUGAACGCUGGCGGCAGGCCUAACACAUGCGAGUCGAACGGUAACAGGAAGAAGCUUGCUUCUUUGCUGACGAGUGGCGGACGGGUGAGUAAUGUCUGGGAAACUGCCUGAUGGAGGGGGAUAACUACUGGAAACGGUAGCUAAUACCGCAUAACGUCGCAAGACCAAAGAGGGGGACCUUCGGGCCUCUUGCCCUCGGAUGUGCCCAGAUGGGAUUAGCUAGUAGGUGGGGUAACGGCUCACCUAGGCGACGAUCCCUAGCUGGUCUGAGAGGAUGACCAGCCACACUGGAACUGAGACACGGUCCAGACUCCUACGGGAGGCAGCAGUGGGGAAUAUUGCACAAUGGGCGCAAGCCUGAUGCAGCCAUGCCGCGUGUAUGAAGAAGGCCUUCGGGUUGUAAAGUACUUUCAGCGGGGAGGAAGGGAGUAAAGUUAAUACCUUUGCUCAUUGACGUUACCCGCAGAAGAAGCACCGGCUAACUCCGUG
rnacentral:rRNA from 1 species